rnacentral:rRNA from 1 species
AUCUGCCCUGAAGAAGAGAAUAAUCCCGGGAAACUGGGGGUAAUGCUCUAUAGUCCGGGAGGACUGGAAUGUUCUCCGGAUGAAAGAUCCGUCGCUUCAGGAUGAGUCUGCGGCCGAUUAGGUAGUUGUUGGGGUAAAAGCCCAACAAGCCUGUAAUCGGUACGGGUUGUGGGAGCAAGAGCCCGGAGAUGGAUUUUUGAGACACGAAUCCAGGCCCUACGGGGCGCAGCAGGCGCGAAAACUUUACAAUGCGGGCAACCGUGAUAAGGAAACCCCGAGUGCCAGCACAGGCUGGCUGUCCACCAGUGUAAACAACUGGUGAAGAAAGGGCCGGGCAAGACCGGUGCCAGCCGCCGCGGUAAUACCGGCGGCUCGAGUGGUGGCCGCUUUUACUGGGCUUAAAGGGUCCGUAGCUGGAUCCAUGGGUCCCUUGAGAAAUCCAUCAGCUUAACUGCUGGGCGUUCAGGGGAAACUGUGGUUCUAGGGACCGGGAGAGGUAAGAGGUACUGCCGGGGUAGGAGUGAAAUCCUGUAAUCCCGGUGGGACGACCUAUAGCGAAGGCAUCUUACCAGAACGGCUCCGACAGUGAGGGACGAAAGCUGGGGGAGCAAACCGGAUUAGAUACCCGGGUAGUCCCAGCUGUAAACGAUGCGCGUUAGGUGUGUCAGUGACCACGUGUCACUGAUGUGCCGAAGGGAAACCGUGAAACGCGCCGCCUGGGAGUACGGUCGCAAGGCUGAAACUUAA